UACAGAGGUCUCAAGCGUUGUUCGGAUUCAUUGGGCGUAAAGGGCGCGUAGGCGGCUUGUUAAGUAGGGUGUGAAAGCCCCCGGCUCAACCGGGGAAUUGCGCUCUAAACUGGCGAGCUAGAGUGAGAUAGGGGUGUGGUGGAACUUCCGGUGGAGCGGUGAAAUGUGUUGAUAUCGGAAGGAACGCCGGUGGCGAAAGCGACAGCAC
rnacentral:rRNA from 1 species